rnacentral:rRNA from 1 species
AGAGUUUGAUCAUGGCUCAGAUUGAACGCUGGCGGCAGGCCUAACACAUGCAAGUCGAACGGUAACAUUUCUAGCUUGCUAGAAGAUGACGAGUGGCGGACGGGUGAGUAAUGCUUGGGAACUUGCCUUUGCGAGGGGGAUAACAGUUGGAAACGACUGCUAAUACCGCAUAAUGUCUUCGGACCAAACGGGGCUUAGGCUCCGGCGCAAAGAGAGGCCCAAGUGAGAUUAACUAGUUGGUAGGGUAACGGCUUACCAAGGCGACGAUCUCUAGCUGUUCUGAGAGGAAGAUCAGCCACACUGGGACUGAGACACGGCCCAGACUCCUACGGGAGGCAGCAGUGGGGAAUAUUGCACAAUGGGGGAAACCCUGAUGCAGCCAUGCCGCGUGUGUGAAGAAGGCCUUCGGGUUGUAAAGCACUUUCAGUUGUGAGGAAAAGUUAGUAGUUAAUACCUGCUAGCCGUGACGUUAACAACAGAAGAAGCACCGGCUAACUCCGUGCCAGCAGCCGCGGUAAUACGGAGGGUGCGAGCGUUAAUCGGAAUUACUGGGCGUAAAGCGCACGCAGGCGGUUUGUUAAGCUAGAUGUGAAAGCCCCGGGCUCAACCUGGGAUGGUCAUUUAGAACUGGCAGACUAGAGUCUUGGAGA